CAAACUUCUAGGUCUUAUCCUAGUGUACCUAUGUCUUUCUCCUUGUCUCUAAAUACAAUUCUAAACAUUAACUAUUGUAACCUAUGUUCCUCGAUUUCCUUAAGCGGGUGUUUUGUUUCAUACAACUAACUUGGUCGUACUACUAGAUCAUAACCAGUCCUUCAUACUUCGAAUGUCACUCUACAUUGUCAUGUCACUAUA
rnacentral:lncRNA from 1 species